GUGAGGAAUAUUGGACAAUGGGCGCAAGCCUGAUCCAGCCAUGCCGCGUGCAGGAAGACGCAUCUAUGGUGUGUAAACUGCUUUUGUACGGGAAGAAACACUCCCUCGUGAGGGAGCUUGACGGUACCGUAAGAAUAAGGAUCGGCUAACUCCGUGCCAGCAGCCGCGGUAAUACGGAGGAUCCAAGCGUUAUCCGGAAUCAUUGGGUUUAAAGGGUCCGUAGGCGGUUUAAUAAGUCAGUGGUGAAAGCCCAUCGCUCAACGAUGGAACGGCCAUAGAUACUGUUAGACUUGAAUUACAAGGAAGUAACUAGAAUAUGUAGUGUAGCGGUGAAAUGCUUAGAUAUUACAUGGAAUACCAAUUGCGAAGGCAGGUUACUACUUGUGGAUUGACGCUGAUGGACGAAAGCGUGGGGAGCGAACAGGAUUAGAAACCCCAGUAGUCC
rnacentral:rRNA from 1 species